GACGAACGCUGGCGGCGUGCUUAACACAUGCAAGUCGAACGGAGCUAUUUAUUUCGGUAGAUAGCUUAGUGGCAAACGGGUGAGUAACGCGUAGGCAACCUGCCCUUAGGAUGGGGACAACGGCCCGAAAGGACCGCUAAUACCGAAUGGACUCUAACUUUCGCAUGAAAGAAAGAGGAAAGAUGGUGCAAGCCAUCGCCGAAGGAAGGGCCUGCGUCUGAUUAGCCAGUUGGUGAGGUAACGGCUCACCAAAGCGACGAUCAGUAGCCGGUCUGAGAGGAUGAACGGCCACAAUGGGACUGAGACACGGCCCAUACUCCUACGGGAGGCAGCAGUGGGGAAUCUUCCGCAAUGGGCGCAAGCCUGACGGAGCAACGCCGCGUGAGUGAAGAAGGUCUUCGGAUCGUAAAGCUCUGUUGUUGGGGACGAAAGAAAAGGGGAGGAAAUGCCCUUUAAGACG
rnacentral:rRNA from 1 species